GAGCAAAUGAAGAAAUUACUACUCUAAAGGUGAAGGUGGGGAGCCUUGAAGAGAAAGUCAGAUUGCUUGAGGAUGACAAGCAAUUUUUACAACAGAGAUUAAGUGAUGUAUUGGUAUUGAGGAAAAUAGUGACUGAACGAAGCCCUGAGUCAGACACAAGCACCAGUGAUGGCACUGAAGACACGGACAGCAGCUAUGAGGAAGUGGAAAGCACAGAUUCUGAAUCCUCAUCCUGUAAGCGUAACAAAAGGGAGGCAAGAAAGAAUAAACAACUGUGGAAGAAAGCAACUAAGGAAGAUGGCAGUGAUGCAUUGAUGGAAAAGAAAGGAAGGCAAGGAAGCGAAAGUUGACCAAGGAUUCUGAUACAAGUUGUGACACUGAAGACCAAAGACUAACAAAAAGGAGCAAGAAAAAGAAGGUACAACAGAAGAUGAAGGAUACUACAAAGAAAAAAGUCCUAAAGCCUGAAGAUGCCAUUUCCAGGUACAGGUGUGUACUAAAAGCUGUGUCCAGAGGAAUGUCAAAGACUGAUGCCUACACCUAUGUUGGCGUCAAUCCCAAAACAAUUGUUGACACUGCAGCAAUUGCCGAGCUGA